CCUACGGGUGGCAGCAGUGAGGAAUAUUAGUCAAUGGGCGCGAGCCUGAACCAGCCAAGUAGCGUGAAGGAUGACUGCCCUACGGGUUGUAAACUUCUUUUAUAAAGGAAUAAAGUGAGGCACGUGUGCCUUUUUGUAUGUACUUUAUGAAUAAGGAUCGGCUAACUCCGUGCCAGCAGCCGCGGUAAUACGGAGGAUGCGAGCGUUAUCCGGAUUUAUUGGGUUUAAAGGGUGCGUAGGCGGACUGUUAAGUCAGCGGUAAAAGCCCGGGGCUCAACCCCGGCGAGCCGUUGAAACUGGCUGUCUUGAGAUGUCGAGAGGUAUGCGGAAUGCGCAGUGUAGCGGUGAAAUGCUUAGAUAUCACGAAGAACCCCGAUUGCGAAGGCAGCCUGCCGCAGCGUUACUGACGCUGAAGCUCGAAAGCGCGGGUAUCGAACAGGAUUAGAUACCCCAGUAGUC
rnacentral:rRNA from 1 species